AAAUUCCAUGUCAUUUCUUCUCUCACAAGGAAAAUAUUUCACAUAAAAGUCACCCAAGGCAUAAUUCUACUCUUGUUUUUUUUCUAACUUGAAACAGACAUUGAAAUCUAUAUGUUUUUACCAACUGUACUUCUUACAGACCUAAUUUCGGGGAAGUAAGAUAUUCUAACAAGAAAAAGAAGAGGUGUAUUUUUUUUAAUAUACAAGUGUUAUUUUUAAGACAUUUAGGCCUAGUGUAUUUUAGAUAUUUAAACAAUAAAAAAAAAACAGUGCUUGAAAUAAACAGUUUAUAUUGCCCUUUUAAUCUAUAUAAAAUCAAGGAACCAAUAUGCCUGGAGAUUGCUUAUAUUUUCUACAUCCACUGAUACACCACAUAGAUCAGAGGUCUGAUAAAACUGGCCACCUGCCUUUGCCACCAUAUGUGCAUGACUAAUUUUUUGACUGGUCAUUCCUACAAAUCAGACUGUUCCAUGUGAUUAUUUUUGGGAAAGAUAACAUUUCCUAUCCUGAAUUUGUAAAAAAGGACAUUGCAUUUUCUUUUUCAAAAAUGUAUAAUGAUUUUUAAACUUUACAUAUCUAUUAGUUAUUUGAUAUUUUUUUUCACAUACAAUGAUUGUAAGAUAGAACUGAUGAGUGCUUUGAUUUUUGGAUUUACCCUGUUCUACAUAACAUUGGACCUGCCCAGGUACACAGUUGUAAGGUUAGCAAGCUGGUGGAAAUCACAGAGAAUCUACUUGAUGUUUUAGGAAUUUUAGAGAUAUUGUUUUGUUUAAGAUGUUUAAGUAUAGUUAUGGUAAAUAAGAAUGACAAGAAGAAUCACCUUGGACAAGAAGAUAUACAACAAAAUCAGGCUAGUGGGACCAGUUCUUACUUUGAGAUGCCAGGUGAAUAAUGAAUAUGCAGUAUUGAGCCUGAAAAGGUGAACACAGCCACAUGAAGUUUUCCGAGGAAAUAGAAGCAGAGCACUGAAACAGACAUCAAUAAAAGAAAUAGUAGUUUGAAUAAUCAGAAACAUUUGAUCAAAUUUAUAAUUUGAACAGUUCCUCACCGACAGACUUCCAGCAAAAUAUUUGUAUAAAUAAAGUGUUUGAUUCCAAGAAAACCAGUAAAAUACAAAAACUUGCUGCUAGAAAUGAAUAUUGUUUUUGUUAUAGUGAAUGUAAGAUGAUUGAACUGAAGGAUAUGUAUGUUGAAUUUUGUAUUUUGCUCAUUUAUAUGACUAUGAAUAUAAAUUAAUAAACAUUAUUGAAAUUAAAUUACUAAACUUUUAUUUUAUUUCAAGCUUUUUUGACAUCAAGCAACAUAUAUGCGGCUUACAUGUGACUUAUAAGUGACUUAUAUUAAGUCACUUAUAUGUAACAUAUAAGUCACUUAUAUGUAACAUAUAAGUCACUUAUAUGUUACUUAUAAGUUGAGCAUAUCUUUGACUUACAUGUCACAUAUUUGUGACUUAUAUAUAACUUAUACUUCACUUAUAUGUCAAAAUGCCAGACAUAUACUGCACUUACAUCUAAUUUGCAUUUAAAAUACAUAUACUUGACUUAUAGGUGAAUUGACUAAGUGAAGUAUAAUCUACAUAUAAAAUAGCCUAUAAGUGACUUAUAAGUGAAUUCCGUAAGGGUGUUUAUAUU